rnacentral:rRNA from 1 species
ACCGCGUGAGUGAUGAAGGCUCUUGGGUCGUAAAGCUCUGUCAGAGGGGAAGAACCUCCUGUCAUAUAAUACAUGGCAGGCCUGACGGUACCCUCAAAGGAAGCACCGGCUAACCCCGUGCCAGCAGCCGCGGUAAUACGGAGGGUGCAAGCGUUGUUCGGAAUUAUUGGGCGUAAAGAGCGUGUAGGCGGUUCUUCAAGUCUGAUGUGAAAGCCCUGGGCUCAACCCAGGAAGUGCAUUGGAAACUGGAGAACUUGAGUACGGGAGAGGAAAGUGGAAUUUCGAAUGUAGGGGUGAAAUCCGUAGAUAUUCGAAGGAACACCAGUGGCGAAGGCGGCUUUCUGGACCGAUACUGACGCUGAGACGCGAAAGCGUGGGGAGCAAACAGGAUUAGAUACCCUGGUAGUCCACGCCGUAAACGAUGGGUACUAGGUGUCGCGGGUAUUGACCCCUGCGGUGCCAAAGCUAACGCAUUAAGUACCCCGCCUGGGGAGUACGGCCGCAAGGCUAAAACUCAAAGGAAUU